rnacentral:rRNA from 1 species
GACGAACGCUGGCGGCGUGCCUAAUACAUGCAAGUCGAGCGAGUCUGCCUUGAAGAUCGGAGUGCUUGCACUCUGUGAAACAAGAUACAGGCUAGCGGCGGACGGGUGAGUAACACGUGGGUAACCUGCCCAAGAGAUCGGGAUAACACCUGGAAACAGAUGCUAAUACCGGAUAACAACAGAUGAUGCCUAUCAACUGUUUAAAAGAUGGUUCUGCUAUCACUCUUGGAUGGACCUGCGGUGCAUUAGCUAGUUGGUAGGGUAACGGCCUACCAAGGCGAUGAUGCAUAGCCGAGUUGCGAGACUGAUCGGCCACAUUGGGACUGAGACACGGCCCAAACUCCUACGGGAGGCAGCAGUAGGGAAUCUUCCACAAUGGACGCAAGUCUGAUGGAGCAACGCCGCGUGAGUGAAGAAGGGUUUCGGCUCGUAAAGCUCUGUUGUUGGUGAAGAAGGACAGGGGUAGUAACUGACCUUUGUUUGACGGUAAUCAAUUAGAAAGUCACGGCUAACUACGUG